AUUGAACGCUGGCGACAUGCCUUACACAUGCAAGUCGAACGGCAGCACGGGUGCUUGCACCUGGUGGCGAGUGGCGAACGGGUGAGUAAUACAUCGGAACAUGUCCUGUAGUGGGGGAUAGCCCGGCGAAAGCCGGAUUAAUACCGCAUACGAUCUACGGAUGAAAGCGGGGGACCUUCGGGCCUCGCGCUAUAGGGUUGGCCGAUGGCUGAUUAGCUAGUUGGUGGGGUAAAGGCCUACCAAGGCGACGAUCAGUAGCUGGCCUGAGAGGACGACCAGCCACACUGGGACUGAGACACGGCCCAGACUCCUACGGGAGGCAGCAGUGGGGAAUUUUGGACAAUGGGCGAAAGCCUGAUCCAGCAAUGCCGCGUGUGUGAAGAAGGCCUUCGGGUUGUAAAGCACUUUUGUCCGGAAAGAAAUCCUUGGCCCUAAUACGGUCGGGGGAUGACGGUACCGGAAGAAUAAGCACCGGCUAACUACGU
rnacentral:rRNA from 1 species